rnacentral:rRNA from 1 species
GAUGAACGCUGGCGGCGUGCCUAAUACAUGCAAGUCGAGCGAACAGACGAGGAGCUUGCUCCUCUGACGUUAGCGGCGGACGGGUGAGUAACACGUGGAUAACCUACCUAUAAGACUGGGAUAACUUCGGGAAACCGGAGCUAAUACCGGAUAAUAUAUUGAACCGCAUGGUUCAAUAGUGAAAGACGGUUUUGCUGUCACUUAUAGAUGGAUCCGCGCCGCAUUAGCUAGUUGGUAAGGUAACGGCUUACCAAGGCGACGAUGCGUAGCCGACCUGAGAGGGUGAUCGGCCACACUGGAACUGAGACACGGUCCAGACGCCUACGGGAGGCAGCAGUAGGGAAUCUUCCGCAAUGGGCGAAAGCCUGACGGAGCAACGCCGCGUGUGUGAUGAAGGUCUUCGGAUCGUAAAACUCUGUUAUUAGGGAAGAACAAAUGUGUAAGUAACUAUGCACGUCUUGACGGUACCUAAUCAGAAAGCCACGGCUAACUACGUG